rnacentral:tRNA from 1 species
UCCCUGGUAGUCUAGUAGCUAUAACUCCGCACUCCCAAUGCAGAAGUCAUAGGUUUGAUCCCUGGUCAGGGAA